GCUCGGAUAGCUCAGCUUGGGAGAGCGCUGGGCUGUGGACCCAGAAGUCCCGGGUUCAAAUCCCGGUCCGAGCC
rfam:Acidianus manzaensis strain YN-25, complete genome.